CGGAGGGUGCGAGCGUUAAUCGGAAUAACUGGGCGUAAAGGGCACGCAGGCGGUUAUUUAAGUGAGGUGUGAAAGCCCCGGGCUUAACCUGGGAAUUGCAUUUCAGACUGGGUAACUAGAGUACUUUAGGGAGGGGUAGAAUUCCACGUGUAGCGGUGAAAUGCGUAGAGAUGUGGAGGAAUACCGAAGGCGAAGGCAGCCCCUUGGGAAUGUACUGACGCUCAUGUGCGAAAGCGUGGGGAGCAAACAGGAUU
rnacentral:rRNA from 1 species